rnacentral:rRNA from 1 species
CCUGGUUGAUUCUGCCAGUAGUCAUAUGCUUGUCUCAAAGAUUAAGCCAUGCAUGUCUAAGUAUAAGCAAUUAUACCGCGAAACUGCGAAUGGCUCAUUAAAUCAGUUAUCGUCUAUUUGAUAGUACCUUACUACUUGGAUAACCGUGGUAAUUCUAGAGCUAAUACAUGCUGAAAACCCCGACUUCGGAAGGGAUGUAUUUAUUAGAUUAAAAACCAAUGCCCUCCGGGGCUCCCUGGUGAUUCAUAAUAACUGCUCGAAUCGCACGGCCUUGCGCCGGCGAUGGUUCAUUCAAAUUUCUGCCCUAUCAACUUUCGACGGCUGGGUCUUGGCCAGCCAUGGUGACAACGGGUAACGGAGGGUUAGGGCUCGACCCCGGAGAAGGAGCCUGAGAAACGGCUACUACAUCCAAGGAAGGCAGCAGGCGCGCAAAUUACCCAAUCCCGACGCGGGGAGGUAGUGACAAUAAAUACUGAUACAGGGCUCUUUUGGGUCUUGUAAUUGGAAUGAGUACAAUUUAAUUCCUUAACGAGGAACAAUUGGAGGGCAAGUCUGGUGCCAGCAGCCGCGGUAAUUCCAGCUCCAAUAGCGUAUAUUAAAGUUGUUGCAGUUAAAAAGCUCGUAGUUGAACCUUGGGCCUGGCUGGCCGGUCCGCCUCACCGCGUGCACUGGUCCGGCCGGGCCUUUCCCUCUGGGGAGCCGCAUGCCCUUCACUGGGCGUGCCGGGGAACCAGGACGUUUACUUUGAAAAAAUUAGAGUGUUCAAAGCAGGCUUAUGCUCGGAUACAUUAGCAUGGAAUAAUAGAAUAGGACGCGCGGUUCUAUUUUUGUUGGUUUCUAGGACCGCCGUAAUGAUUAAUAGGGACAGUCGGGGGCAUCAGUAUUCAAUUGUCAGAGGUGAAAUUCUUGGAUCUAUUGAAGACUAACUACUGCGAAAGCAUUUGCCAAGGAUGUUUUCAUUAAUCAGGAACGAAAGUUAGGGGAUCGAAGACGAUCAGAUACCGUCGUAGUCUAACCAUAAACUAUGCCGACUAGGGAUCGGACGGUGUUAUUUUUUGACCCGUUCGGCACCUUACACGAAAGUACAAGUUUCUGGGUUCUGGGGGGAGUAUGGUCGCAAGGCUGAACUUAAAGAAAUUGACGGAAGGGCACCACCAGGGGUAAACACUUGAUUGUUUCGCCGCAGUUAACUCUGCCCCGGAAAGCCGCCCGAAAGGGUCGGUGGUGCCCCGCUGGCUAGUCGACGCCCCGCCCGGGGGGCGGCGGCGACAUCCUCAAAGUGCGGGGAACCCCUAAAGCUCCUGCUCCAAAGCCGGCCCGCGAAAGCAGCCGGUGGCCAGGCGAAAGGCCUC